UGGGGAAUUUUGGACAAUGGGCGAAAGCCUGAUCCAGCAAUGCCGCGUGUGUGAAGAAGGCCUUCGGGUUGUAAAGCACUUUUGUCCGGAAAGAAAUCCUUGGCUCUAAUACAGUCGGGGGAUGACGGUACCGGAAGAAUAAGCACCGGCUAACUACGUGCCAGCAGCCGCGGUAAUACGUAGGGUGCAAGCGUUAAUCGGAAUUACUGGGCGUAAAGCGUGCGCAGGCGGUUUGCUAAGACCGAUGUGAAAUCCCCGGGCUCAACCUGGGAACUGCAUUGGUGACUGGCAGGCUAGAGUAUGGCAGAGGGGGGUAGAAUUCCACGUGUAGCAGUGAAAUGCGUAGAGAUGUGGAGGAAUACCGAUGGCGAAGGCAGCCCCCUGGGCCAAUACUGACGCUCAUGCACGAAAGCGUGGGGAGCAAACAGGAUUAGAUACCCUGGUAGUCCAGCGCCCUAAACGAUGUCAACUAGUUGUUGGGGAUUCAUUUCCUUAGUAACGUAGCUAACGCGUGAAGUUGACCGCCUGGGGAGUACGGUCGCAAGAUUAAAACUCAAAGGAAUUGAC
rnacentral:rRNA from 1 species